rnacentral:rRNA from 1 species
GACGAACGCUGGCGGCGUGCUUAACACAUGCAAGUCGAACGGAAAGGCCCUGCUUUUGUGGGGUGCUCGAGUGGCGAACGGGUGAGUAACACGUGAGUAACCUGCCCUUGACUUUGGGAUAACUUCAGGAAACUGGGGCUAAUACCGGAUAGGAGCUCCUGCUGCAUGGUGGGGGUUGGAAAGUUUCGGCGGUUGGGGAUGGACUCGCGGCUUAUCAGCUUGUUGGUGGGGUAGUGGCUUACCAAGGCUUUGACGGGUAGCCGGCCUGAGAGGGUGACCGGCCACAUUGGAACUGAGAUACGGCCCAGACUCCUACGGGAGGCAGCAGUGGGGAAUAUUGCACAAGGGGCGAAAGCCGGAUGCGGAACCGCCGCGUGCGGGAUGACGGCCUUCGGGUUGUAAACCGCUUUGGCCUGUGACGAAGCGUGGGUGACGGUAAUGGGUAAAGAAGCACCGGCUAACUACGU